rnacentral:pre_miRNA from 1 species
UUUACGUAUAAUCACAAUUUAGGUUAGUUGAAAUACGCUUGACAAACAUAUUUCAACUAACCUAAAUUGUGAUUAUACGUA